rnacentral:rRNA from 1 species
AAUGAACGUUGGCGGCAUGGAUUAGGCAUGCAAGUCGAGCGAGAAGUGUAGCAAUACACGGAAAGCGGCGGAAGGGAGAGUAAUACGUGGGAAUCUGCCCUUAGACCUGGGAUAGCAGCGGGAAACUGCUGGUAAUACCAGAUAAUGUCUAUGGACCAAAGGUGUGAUUCCGUCUAGGGAUGAGCCCACGUCCUAUUAGCUAGUUGGUAGGGUAAUGGCCUACCAAGGCGGUGAUGGGUAGCGGGUGUGAGAGCAUGACCCGCCUCACUGGGACUGGGACACUGCCCCGACACCUACGGGUGGCUGCAGUCGAGAAUCUUCGGCAAUGGGCGCAAGCCUGACCGAGCGAUGCCGCGUGCGGGAUGAAGGCCUUCGGGUUGUAAACCGCUGUCGAGGGGGAGCAACUUCCAUAGAGUUAUCUUUAUGGAUUGAGUGAUCCCUGGAGGAAGGACGGGCUAAGUUCGUGCCAGCAGCCGCCGUAAAAC